ensembl:ncRNA T22B2.8 ncRNA
UUUUGCCGGAUGAGCGCCAGCAGGAGUAGAAGAAGAAGGAGGUAGCAAAAAUAUAUUUCGAGUGAAAAGAAAACUGGUCUUAAAGGCGGUUGGUUCAUCGCCCCGAAAACAAAUAGGCCAAGAGCCAACGAAAAAGUGCGAGCGCGAGCCGUUGAAGAACGAACGAAACAUGAAACUUUCCCCGGCUCGAGGCCUACGGCCUGGAUCGGGAACAAUCUACUGAAUUGCUUCACGCGGCGCGAAAAACA